GUGAUAUCUUCGACAACAACAAAAAUACCAUAUAUAUUAGAAGAUGUUGAAAAUAGUGUUCUACAGAUUGAACAUAAACGGUGGCCAAUCAUCAUCUAUACAAAUCCAUGACAGGAUGAAAUGAGUUCAUGUGGAUCUGGGUGGCUCAAAGGAUGGACGACAGCAGGUGCUAUGGAGUCCUUUGUACUCUCUGUGAUUUUCCUGUGUCUAAGGACAGGAGAUGGCAUAAGCAGAUAAAAG